UACGUAGGGUGCGAGCGUUAAUCGGAAUUACUGGGCGUAAAGCGUGCGCAGGCGGUUUUGUAAGUCUGUCGUGAAAUCCCCGGGCUCAACCUGGGAAUUGCGAUGGAGACUGCAAGGCUAGAAUCUGGCAGAGGGGGGUAGAAUUCCACGUGUAGCAGUGAAAUGCGUAGAGAUGUGGAGGAACACCGAUGGCGAAGGCAGCCCCCUGGGUCAAGAUUGACGCUCAUGC
rnacentral:rRNA from 1 species